CCUGACGGUAGUCGUAUGCUCGUCUCCGAGACUAAGCCAUGCAAGUCCAAGUACACGUCCUUGAACGACGGAAACUGCGAACGGCUCAUUAAAUCAGUUGCGAUCUACUCGGCGUUCCGCGCCGCCGGAUAACCGUAGUAAUUCUAGGGCUAAUACGUGCGAAGCGCCCGAAGCCGCGAGGCGACGGGCGUUCUCGCCGGAUGUAGGAACCGACCCGGGGACCGCCGGGGCAACCCCGGCGCCCCCGAGACGGGGCGAACCACGGUGAAAUGACGGAUCGUCGGCCCCGCGCCGGCGACUCGCCGAAUGAGUUUCUGACCUAUCAACUCGAGACGGCGGGGUAGAGGCCCGCCGCGGUAACGACGGGUAACGGGGAAUCAGGGUUCGAUUCCGGAGAGGGAGCCCGAGAAACGGCUACCACUUCCAAGGAAGGCAGCAGGCGCGCAACUUACCCUAAUCUCGAUUCGAGGAGGUAGUGACAAGAAUACCGAUGCGGG
rnacentral:rRNA from 1 species